GACGAACGCUGGCGGCAUGCCUAACACAUGCAAGUCGAACGGAGAUUACUUCGGUAAUCUUAGUGGCGAACGGGUGAGUAACGCGUAGGCAACCUGCCCUCUAGAUGGGGACAACAUCCCGAAAGGGGUGCUAAUACCGAAUGUGACAAGUUUCCCGCAUGAGAAACUUGUGAAAGAUGGCAUCUAUUUAUAAGCUAUCGCUAGAGGAUGGGCCUGCGUCUGAUUAGCUAGUUGGUGGGGUAACGGCUCACCAAGGCGAUGAUCAGUAGCCGGUCUGAGAGGUUGAACGGCCACGUUGGGACUGAGACACGGCCCAGACUCCUACGGGAGGCAGCAGUGGGAAAUCUUCCGCAAUGGGCGAAAGCCUGACGGAGCAAUGCCGCGUGAGUGAUGAAGGAAUUCGUUCCGUAAAACUCUUUUAUUUAUGACGAACGUGCGAGUUGUGAAUAAUGACUUGUAAUGACGGUAGUAAACGAAUAAGCCACGGCUAACUACGUGCCAGCCGCCGCAGUAA
rnacentral:rRNA from 1 species